CAUUUUGUAUAAAUAAAACGUUUUGUUAAUUCUUUUCACUGAGCAAACAUGGUGGUGCAGUGGCUUGGUGUUUUGAUGUUGGCUUAUUCGGUCGCAAGUUCACAGCACGCUUCCAAUUCUAAGGGCGAUGUUAUACACAGCAGCCAUCAUGUCAAACAACUAUCAGAAAUUGGCCAAACGGAUAAUGAUGGAACACUGUCGUUAAUAAAAGAACUCUUGAGCAGACGUGGCCUGGAACAUAGAAAUCAUGAUUCGACUGUACCGAAAAGAGUCAAAAUCACUUACAGAAGAAGAUCUACAAACAGUAAUAAAGAUAAUACUGAAACUGAUAAUAGUAAACUUGAUACUACUGUAAAGACGAAACAUGAGUAUUUGGAACAUCCUCUAGAUUCUAAAGAAGCGGAAUUACUUCCAUUUCUGCUGGAAUAUUUAGACAAAAGCGAUAAAGGCAAUUCAGUCAAACUCCUAAAAGACACUAGACGUUCGGCUUCCAGUAAAUAUGAAAAAAAUCGUGAGGAUAAAACUGAAAAUAAGAAUGAGAAGGAAGAUUUGGAAAAAAGUCAUCAAAAUCGACGCGGAUGGAGUCUUGUGGUGGUAAAUAACAAAAAACAUAAAGCAAAUGGACCAGAUAACGAUGAUAUUAGUGCGAUCCAAUAUGGCAACAUCCACUCUGGGGAAGG